GACGCGUGUGACGAUUUGCUGCAAACUUUCGAGCAGAGCUCACUUGAAGGCAGAAAUAUUUUAUCCUUGAACAGGAAGCGGCCACCAGACCGAGUUUCCGUGCCAUAACAAUUUGACGGACAAGUUUUUUAUGACUAACGAGUGGCCCGCAGCAUCUUUAAAAGCAUAUCCCUGCACGGUUCCAGUUGGUAUUGGAAAUUUCAGCAAUAACAAAACCAGGAAUAUCUAGAGGCUGGCUGAAAAGCAGUUCGGAAGUUGACAAUGGAACAUAAUUCAACCUUGUUAUUCUCAGCACCAUCGAGAGAUCAAAACGAAAACCACCAUGGACCACAAAAGGACAGGAACAGCAACAGGAAUGGAUCCCAGCAAACAUCCGAAAACGAGAUUUUUGAAAAUAUAGAGAAAACAUGGGCCAUGUUUGCUCUUCCGAUUCUGGCCAUUCGUAGUAUCUCAUGGAGGUCACGCACAGUCCAGAAAGUAGGUCGUCGGAGUGUGAUUUUGUUACCGUCAGUUCUAGAAUAACCUAUGGUUAGACUUUUAUCGUGUUACCCCAUCUUACGGAACCAACCAACCCUUCGAUAAUUUUUUAUGUAACCAGCAACAGCAACGACUGUUCCCUGGCCGAAAA